rnacentral:rRNA from 1 species
CGUUAGCGGCGGACGGGUGAGUAACACGUGGAUAACCUACCUAUAAGACCGGGAUAACUUCGGGAAACCGGAGCUAAUACCGGAUAAUAUAUUGAACCGCAUGGUUCAAUAGUGAAAGACGGUUUUGCUGUCACUUAUAGAUGGAUCCGCGCCGCAUUAGCUAGUUGGUAAGGUAACGGCUUACCAAGGCAACGAUGCGUAGCCGACCUGAGAGGGUGAUCGGCCACACUGGAACUGAGACACGGUCCAG